rnacentral:rRNA from 1 species
AAUCAACGCUGGCGGCGUGCCUAACACAUGCAAGUCGAGCGAGAAAAGGGGAGCAAUCCCCUGAGUACAGCGGCGCACGGGUGAGUAACACGUGGGUAAUCUGCCCUGGAGUGGGGAAUAACACCGGGAAACCGGUGCUAAUACCGCAUACGAUCACAGAGUCUGCGGAUUUUGUGAUGAAAGGAGCAAUUCGCUCUAGGAGGAGCCCGCGGCUGAUUAGCUAGUUGGUGAGGUAAUGGCUAACCAAGGCAACGAUCAGUAUCCGGUCUGAGAGGGCGGGCGGACACACUGGAACUGAGAAACGGUCCAGAGUCCGACGGGAGGCAGCAGUGGGGAAUGUUUGGAAAUGGGGGCAAGCCUGACCAAGCAACGCCGCGUGGGUGAUGAAGUCUCUUGGGACGUAAAGCCCUUUCGACGGGGACGAAACCGCAAGGUUGACGGUACCCGUAGAAGAAGCCCCGGCUAACUCCGUGCCAGCCGCCGCUGUAA